GGAGAGAGCUGACACAAAAACUAGAAAAUAAGAAACGCUGGAAAAACUAAGUACUACACAGACAAAAGAAUGAGGCAGUCUGCAAAACUAACCCCAGCACUUGGGGAAGGGGACUUGUCUCCCCUAAUACACAGGUUUGAGAGGCCAAUCCUCUUGUGCUGAGUUGCAUCAACUUAUUCCUCACACGGGGCACUACUUGUCACAGUACGUGACCAUGGCAUGGUGUAAAGGAUGAAAGAAUACUUGGAUCAAUGUCCAAUACAAAGUCCGAAAGGGUUCAGAGGGGAUGCCCUUAACUGAAACCCCUCGGCAUGAGAGUCUCAUAAAAGACAGCUCCGAACUAAAGCUCUGUGGCCUGUUAUCGAUAGAACCAGGAAGCAAGGAUCAAAGACAAAAGCAUCCAUCAGACUGAGGCUGAGAUGUUUUGUCUUCUCUUCAGAUGGGCCUUUCCUAACCACCAUUUCCCCAUUGUUAUUGCCAGCAUUACACUUUCCCUCUGCCUCAGAGAACUUAACCCAGGUAAAAUUAUUAUUUAUGUUUGAUGUUUGUUUCUCCCAUAUUCUA
rnacentral:lncRNA from 1 species